UAGCAAUGGAUUUUCACUUAUGUACUUUGAAGGGUUCACAGUACAGGGAUUGGGAUUACAAGGAGGAAGGAUGUUGUAUCUUUCUUGGGUAAGUUGGCCAAUGAAGAGAUGGUCAAUGCAAUGCAUGUUCUGCUUUUGUAUCUACGAAGUGCUCCAUAUGAUGAAAAACCUUUGGUUGCCAUACUUAUGCUGCACUUUGAUCUAAUAGUAUACUUUCUUGACUAUUCAUUUUGUAGUUUUUGGGAUUUUAUUGGACUUUGAAUUUGAUAUUUGUAACUUCUCUUCUUGCCCAUUUUUGAGUUGCAUCUAUAAGAUAUGCCUCGGUGAGUAUGACGAAAUUUUAUGGUGAUUAACUUGGUAUUGGAAUUUGAAGAUGCAGUGUGAAUCUGCAGAUUUAAUGAAGCCUACUCUUAUUUUUUGGUUAUCUAUUCCAGAAAAUUAUGGCUAAGAUAACACUUUGGUGCAGGUAGAACCUCGGAAGUACAGCAUAUACAGAGAGAGGCUGUCGUGGCAAUUUCUGCAUAAGUUAUGCAAAUGAGAGGUUGCAACAACAUUUCAACUGGCAUCUGUUAAAACUGGAGCAGGAAGUGAGCAUCACACAUGGACCGUAUCUUUAGUAGUUUUGUUUAGUAUUUAUAUGACGGGGAUUGUCGCUAAAAGCAGGGUAGUUUUUUUUUAUUCAUUUUUGUCGUCAUUAUUUAUUGUGCAAGAUUAUUUAUUCUCUCAUUAUGUGUACUAUAAAAAAAAAUAUUUAUGUCAUUCUUGUGGAAAACGUUGAUGAAUGUAUUUCAUUUUCAUAUUAUUAUAAUAUUUUGACGUUAUUAA